GCGCAUGCGCCCGCCCCCGCUGCUCCGUCUAACUUGGUCCUGGCAUCCCCCACAACCAACCUUGAUGGCUGCUGAAGGCACAUUUUCUCUUUCCAGGGCUCUUGUGGUGCAGUGCUCGUAUCUCUACCUCUGAGCGAGCAGCAGCAAGAAAUCCCAGCGUGGAUCUCGUGGUGGCUGUGAGUGAGCCCAGAGCGGACUCAAGUGAACCCUUACUUUCUUUUCCGUGGGAGCGUGGGACCUGGCAUUGGAAUCAGCAGCUGCUACAUCAGUGGAAGUGAUGUCAGCGAGGGCAACCAGAACUGAACACCAUACUCCAGAAGAGGCUCCACCAACUUCCUGUGCAUCUUCAAUAUGAUGUCCCAACUCUCAUAGUCAAAAAGUCUGAGCAAUGAAGGCAAGCAUGCUAACGCUUACUUAACAUCCCUGUGAGGUGAACUUCAAGAAAUUAUGUAACUGAACCCCUAGGUCUCUCUGUUCUACCACACAACCAAGGCCCUACUUUAAAUUGUGUAAGUCCUUACCUUGUUUGUUUUACCAAAAUUCAAUACUUUGCAUUUAUCCAAAUUAAAUUCCGUCUGCCACUCCUCAGCCCAUGACCCAAUUGAUCAAAAUCUCUUUAUAAUCUUAGAUAACUUCUUCAUGUCCAAUAUUCCACCAAUUUGUUGUCAUUUUCAAACUUACUAACCAAUUUCAUCUAUAUUCUCAUCUAAAUCAUUUAAAUAAAUGACAAACAAUAGUGGACCCAGCACUGAUCCCAUUGGAACACCCCUAAACAGCAGGCCUCCAGUCUGAAAAUUGACCUUCCAUCACCACUCUCUGUCUCUUGCCGUUAAGCCAAUUUUGUCUCCAAUCGGCAAGCUCAUGCAGUUCUGCGGAAGGGUCACUGGACCCGAAACAUUAACUAGCAGACCUGCUGAGUUUCCAGCACCCGCAGUUCUUUCACUUUGAAUUAAUGCAGUCCUUGCAUUAAAUGCCACUUGUCAACCCAUUCGCAAAUUGUCCAUAACAAAAACAGAAAUUGCUGGAAAACUCAGCAUCUG